rnacentral:rRNA from 1 species
GACGAACCGUGCGAACGUUAUUCGGAAUCACUGGGCUUAAAGGGCGCGUAGGCGGGCCGCCGCGUCCGGGGUGAAAUCCUCCCGCUCAACGGGAGAACGGCCUCGGAUACGGGCGGUCUGGAGGGGGGUGGGGGCGUGCGGAACUGUGGGUGGAGCGGUGAAAUGCGUUGAUAUCCACAGGAACUCCGGUGGCGAAGGCGGCACGCUGGACCCCACCUGACGCUGAGGCGCGAAAGCCAGGGGAGCGAACGGG